GAUGAAGAACGUAGCGAAAUGCGAUACGUAGUGUGAAUUGCAGAAUUCAGUGAAUCAUCGAAUCUUUGAACGCACAUUGCACCUCUCGGUAUUCCGGGAGGUAUGCCUGUUCGAGCGUCAUUUGUACCCUCAAGCUCUGCUUGGCGUUGGGUGUUUGUUCCGCCUCUGUGUGUGAACUCGCCUCAAAACAAUUGGCAGCCGGCGUACUUGUUUCGGAGCGCAGCACAUUUUGCGAUCCAGAUCAACGUACAGCGGCAUCCAAGAAGCCUUAUUUAACGCUCUUGACCUCGGAUCAGGUAGGGAUACCCGCUGAACUUAAGCAUAUCAAUAAGCGGAGGA
rnacentral:misc_RNA from 1 species